rnacentral:sRNA from 1 species
GCUUUGCUGGGAUCUUGCUUUUUAAAAAGCCAAGAGGGAUCACACAGAGUGGCGCCCACACGUCCCCAGCUCCCUCUUCCCAUCCUGUUGUCCUGUUUUCACCAUUCCCCGGACCUCAGACCGCUGCCUCCACGCAUCCCCCUGCAGGAGCCCUUUGCCACCUUCUUUCGUAAAGGUCCUUCCUCAGGCCACAGAUGGAGCGUGUGUUGAGCACCUCACGGCCAGGCACAAGGCUGGCCCUUCCUAGUGGAGGAAGUGGGAGCCUCGACUAGAGAGGGAGCCAAGAGGGACGAGCCGGGCAGGACCCCGUGAUCAGCACGGCCUCCCUGAAGGGGCAAUAGGGAAAUGAUCUGGUCUUUCUGGCCCUAGCUGGCAGCCAGGAGGCAGGAGCAGUGGGCGACAGUGCGGGCCCUGUGGUUCUGGGCCUUCUCGCUACAGGCAAAGGUGUGGGCCACGUGGCUGGCCUUUGUACUGGAAAGGAGGAGAAAGAAGGCGCGGCUGCAGCGGGCGCUGCAGGCCUACCAGGGGCAGCUCCUCCAGGAGGGUGCCACGCGGCUCCUGCGCUUUGCAGCCAGCAUGAAGGCCUCCCGGCAGCAGCUGCAGGCCCAGCAGCAGGUCCAGGUAGGCCCAGGGCCCCUUCCUGUGGGGAGCAGGCAGGGUGUGGCAUGAGCUGACCAGAGGCUGUGUUGUAGGCGGCUCACAGUCUCCAUCGUGCCGUCCGCCGCUGUGCUACGCUCUGGAAACAGAAAGUGCUGGGCCGGGGCGGGAAGCCUCAGCCCCUGGCAGCCAUCGCACCCAGCGGGAAA